rnacentral:rRNA from 1 species
AGAGUUUGAUCCUGGCUCAGGAUGAACGCUAGCUACAGGCUUAACACAUGCAAGUCGAGGGGCAGCGGGUUGAAAGCUUGCUUUCAAUGCCGGCGACCGGCGCACGGGUGCGUAACGCGUAUCAAACCUGCCUCAUACUCGGGGAUAGCCUUGCGAAAGUAAGAUUAAUACCCGAUGUUGUUGCUUUCUCGCAUGGGAGAGUAACCAAAGAUUUAUCGGUAUGAGAUGGUGAUGCGUCCGAUUAGGUAGUAGGCGGGGUAACGGCCCACCUAGCCUUCGAUCGGUAGGGGUUCUGAGAGGAAGGUCCCCCACACUGGAACUGAGACACGGUCCAGACUCCUACGGGAGGCAGCAGUGAGGAAUAUUGGUCAAUGGGCGAGAGCCUGAACCAGCCAAGUAGCGUGCAGGAUGACGGCCCUAUGGGUUGUAAACUGCUUUUGUAUGGGGAUAAAGUUAGGGACGUGUCCCUAUUUGCAGGUACCAUACGAAUAAGGACCGGCUAAUUCCGUGCCAGCAGCCGCGGUAAUACGGAAGGUCCAGGCGUUAUCCGGAUUUAUUGGGUUUAAAGGGAGCGUAGGCGGAUUGUUAAGUCAGCGGUUAAAGGGUGUGGCUCAACCAUGCAUUGCCGUUGAAACUGGCGAUCUUGAGUGCAGACAGGGAUGCCGGAAUUCGUGGUGUAGCGGUGAAAUGCUUAGAUAUCACGAAGAACUCCGAUCGCGAAGGCAGGUGUCCGGGCUGCAACUGACGCUGAGGCUCGAAAGUGUGGGUAUCAAACAGGAUUAGAUACCCUGGUAGUCCACACAGUAAACGAUGUAUACUCGCGGUUUGCGAUAGAAUGUAAGCCGCCAAGCGAAAGCAUUAAGUAUACCACCUGGGGAGUACGCCGGCAACGGUGAAACUCAAAGGAAUUGACGGGGGCCCG